UGGGGAAUAUUGCACAAUGGGCGAAAGCCUGAUGCAGCAACGCCGCGUGAGGGACGACGGCCUUCGGGUUGUAAACCUCUUUUAGCAAGGAAGAAGCGAAAGUGACGGUACUUGCAGAAAAAGCGCCGGCUAACUACGUGCCAGCAGCCGCGGUAAUACGUAGGGCGCAAGCGUUAUCCGGAAUUAUUGGGCGUAAAGAGCUCGUAGGCGGUUUGUCGCGUCUGCUGUGAAAACCCGAGGCUCAACCUCGGGCCUGCAGUGGGUACGGGCAGACCAGAGUGCGGUAGGGGAGAUUGGAACUCCUGGUGUAGCGGUGGAAUGCGCAGAUAUCAGGAAGAACACCGAUGGCGAAGGCAGAUCUCUGGGCCGUAACUGACGCUGAGGAGCGAAAGGGUGGGGAGCAAACAGGCUUAGAUACCCUGGUAGUCCACCCCGUAAACGUUGGGAACUAGUUGUGGGUCCAUUCCACGGAUUCCGUGACGCAGCUAACGCAUUAAGUUCCCCGCCUGGGGAGUACGGCCGCAAGGCUAAAACUCAAAGGAAUUGACGGGGUCAUAGCUGUUUCCU
rnacentral:rRNA from 1 species